UGGGGAAUAUUGCACAAUGGGCGCAAGCCUGAUGCAGCCAUGCCGCGUGUAUGAAGAAGGCCUUCGGGUUGUAAAGUACUUUCAGCGGGGAGGAAGGCGAUAAGGUUAAUAACCUUGUCGAUUGACGUUACCCGCAGAAGAAGCACCGGCUAACUCCGUGCCAGCAGCCGCGGUAAUACGGAGGGUGCAAGCGUUAAUCGGAAUUACUGGGCGUAAAGCGCACGCAGGCGGUCUGUCAAGUCGGAUGUGAAAUCCCCGGGCUCAACUUGGGAACUGCAUUCGAAACUGGUAGGCUAGAGUCUUGUAGAGGGGGGUAGAAUUCCAGGUGUAGCGGUGAAAUGCGUAGAGAUCUGGAGGAAUACCGGUGGCGAAGGCGGCCCCCUGGACAAAGACUGACGCUCAGGUGCGAAAGCGUGGGGAGCAAACA
rnacentral:rRNA from 1 species